rnacentral:rRNA from 1 species
UACGUAGGGUGCGAGCGUUGUCCGGAAUUAUUGGGCGUAAAGAGCUUGUAGGCGGUUUGUCGCGUCUGCCGUGAAAAUCCGGGGCUCAACCCCGGACUUGCGGUGGGUACGGGCAGACUAGAGUGUGGUAGGGGAGACUGGAAUUCCCGGUGUAGUGGUGAAAUGCGUAGAUAUCGGGAGGAACACCAGUGGCGAAGGCGGAUCUCUGGGCCAUUACUGACGCUGAGGAGCGAAAGCGUGGGGAGCGAACAGG